rnacentral:rRNA from 1 species
UACGGAGGGGGCGAGCGUUGUCCGAAGUUACUGGGCGUAAAGCGCGCGUAGGCGGGUUGGUAAGUCCGCUGUGAAAGCCCGGAGCUUAACUCCGGGGGGUCGGUGGAUACUGCCAGUCUUGAAGGUGCUAGGGGGAGAUGGAAUUACCGGUGUAGCGGUGAAAUGCGUAGAUAUCGGUAGGAACACCAGUGGCGAAGGCGGUCUCCUGGGGCAUUCUUGACGCUGAGGCGCGAAAGCUGGGGGAGCAAACGGG